rnacentral:rRNA from 1 species
AACGACUCUCGACAACGGAUAUCUCGGCUCUCGCAUCGAUGAAGAACGUAGCGAAAUGCGAUACUUGGUGUGAAUUGCAGAAUCCCGUGAACCAUCGAGUCUUUGAACGCAAGUUGCGCCCAAAGCCUUCAGGCCAAGGGCACGUCUGCCUGGGUGUCACGC